rnacentral:rRNA from 1 species
CCUACGGGAGGCUGCAGUGAGGAAUAUUGGUCAAUGGACGAGAGUCUGAACCAGCCAAGUAGCGUGAAGGAUGACUGCCCUAUGGGUUGUAAACUUCUUUUAUAUAGGAAUAAAAUGUUCCACGUGUGGGAUUUUGUAUGUACCAUAUGAAUAAGGAUCGGCUAACUCCGUGCCAGCAGCCGCGGUAAUACGGAGGAUCCGAGCGUUAUCCGGAUUUAUUGGGUUUAAAGGGAGCGUAGGUGGAUUGUUAAGUCAGUUGUGAAAGUUUGCGGCUCAACCGUAAAAUUGCAGUUGAAACUGGCAGUCUUGAGUACAGUAGAGGUGGGCGGAAUUUGUGGUGUAGCGGUGAAAUGCUUAGAUAUCACGAAGAACUCCGAUUGCGAAGGCAGUUCACUGGACUGCAACUGACACUGAGGCUCGAAAGUGUGGGUAUCAAACAGGAUUAGAUACCCGAGUAGUC